rnacentral:rRNA from 1 species
GGGGUGACGGCGUACCUUUUGUAUAAUGGGUCAGCGACUUACGUUCAGUAGCAAGCUUAACCGUAUAGGGCAGGCGUAGCGAAAGCGAGUCCGAAUAGGGCGUUCAGUUGCUGGGCGUAGACCCGAAACCAGGUGAUCUAUCCAUGGCCAGGAUGAAGGUGCGGUAACACGUACUGGAGGUCCGAACCCACUAACGUUGAAAAGUUAGGGGAUGAGCUGUGGAUAGGGGUGAAAGGCUAAACAAACCUGGAAAUAGCUGGUUCUCUCCGAAAACUAUUUAGGUAGUGCCUCGUGUCUCACCUUCGGGGGUAGAGCACUGUCAUGGUUGGGGGGUCUAUUGCAGAUUACCCCGCCAUAGCAAACUCCGAAUACCGAAGAGUGCAAUCACGGGAGACAGACAUCGGGUGCUAACGUCCGGUGUCAAGAGGGAAACAACCCAGACCGCCAGCUAAGGUCCCCAAAUAUAGCUAAGUGGGAAACGAAGUGGGAAGGCUAAAACAGUCAGGAGGUUGGCUUAGAAGCAGCCACCCUUUAAAGAAAGCGUAAUAGCUCACUGAUCGAGUCGUCCUGCGCGGAAGAUGUAACGGGGCUAAGCUAUAUACCGAAGCUGCGGAUGCGAGCUUGCUCGCAUGGUAGGAGAGCGUUCCGUAAGCCUGCGAAGGUGCCUUGUAAAGGGUGCUGGAGGUAUCGGAAGUGCGAAUGCUGACAUGAGUAGCGAUAAAGGGGGUGAAAGGCCCCCUCGCCGUAAGCCCAAGGUUUCCUACGCAACGUUCAUCGGCGUAGGGUGAGUCGGCCCCUAAGGCGAGGCAGAAAUGCGUAGCUGAUGGGAAGCAGGUCAAUAUUCCUGCACCAUUGUUAGAUGCGAUGGGGGGACGGAUCGCGGAAGGUUGUCCGGGUGUUGGAAGUCCCGGUCGCUGCAUUGGAGAAGGCGCUUAGGCAAAUCCGGGCGCGCAAUUCAAGGGUGUGGCGCGAGCUCCUUAGGGAGCGAAGCAAUUGGAAGUGGUUCCAAGAAAAGCCUCUAAGCUUCAGUCUAACGAUGACCGUACCGCAAACCGACACAGGUGGGCGAGAUGAGUAUUCUAAGGCGCUUGAGAGAACUCGGGAGAAGGAACUCGGCAAAUUGGUACCGUAACUUCGGGAUAAGGUACGCCCUUGUAGCUUGACUGGCCUGCGCCAGGAGGGUGAAGGGGUUGCAAUAAACUGGUGGCUGCGACUGUUUAAUAAAAACACAGCACUCUGCAAACACGAAAGUGGACGUAUAGGGUGUGACGCCUGCCCGGUGCCGGAAGAUUAAAUGAUGGGGUGCAAGCUCUUGAUUGAAGUCCCGGUAAACGGCGGCCGUAACUAUAACGGUCCUAAGGUAGCGAAAUUCCUUGUCGGGUAAGUUCCGACCUGCACGAAUGGCGUAACGAUGGCCACACUGUCUCCUCCCGAGACUCAGCGAAGUUGAAGUGUUUGUGAUGAUGCAAUCUACCCGCGGCUAGACGGAAAGACCCCAUGAACCUUUACUGUAGCUUUGCAUUGGACUUUGAACCGAUCUGUGUAGGAUAGGUGGGAGGCUAUGAAACCGGAACGCUAGUUUCGGUGGAGCCGUCCUUGAAAUACCACCCUGGUUUGUUUGAGGUUCUAACCUUGGCCCGUGAUCCGGGUCGGGGACAGUGCAUGGUAGGCAGUUUGACUGGGGCGGUCUCCUCCCAAAGCGUAACGGAGGAGUACGAAGGUACGCUAGGUACGGUCGGAAAUCGUGCUGAUAGUGCAAUGGCAUAAGCGUGCUUAACUGCGAGACCGACAAGUCGAGCAGGUGCGAAAGCAGGUCAUAGUGAUCCGGUGGUUCUGUAUGGAAGGGCCAUCGCUCAACGGAUAAAAGGUACUCUGGGGAUAACAGGCUGAUACCGCCCAAGAGUUCAUAUCGACGGCGGUGUUUGGCACCUCGAUGUCGGCUCAUCUCAUCCUGGGGCUGUAGCCGGUCCCAAGGGUAUGGCUGUUCGCCAUUUAAAGAGGUACGUGAGCUGGGUUUAAAACGUCGUGAGACAGUUUGGUCCCUAUCUGCCGUGGGCGUUGGAUAUUUGAAGGGGGCUGCUCCUAGUACGAGAGGACCGGAGUGGACGAACCUCUGGUGUACCGGUUGUCACGCCAGUGGCAUCGCCGGGUAGCUAUGUUCGGAAGAGAUAACCGCUGAAAGCAUCUAAGCGGGAAACUCGCCUUAAGAUGAGAUAUCCCUGGGGACUAGAUCCCCUUGAAGGGUCGUUCGAGACCAGGACGUUGAUAGGUCAGGUGUGUAAGCGCAGUAAUGCGUUCAGCUAACUGAUACUAAUUGCCCGUAAGGCUUGAUCC